rnacentral:rRNA from 1 species
GGGGUAAAGGCCUACCAAGGCGACGAUCCAUAGCUGGUCUGAGAGGAUGAUCAGCCACAUUGGGACUGAGACACGGCCCAAACUCCUACGGGAGGCAGCAGUGGGGAAUAUUGGACAAUGGGCGCAAGCCUGAUCCAGCCAUGCCGCGUGAGUGAUGAAGGCCCUAGGGUUGUAAAGCUCUUUCACCGGAGAAGAUAAUGACGGUAUCCGGAGAAGAAGCCCCGGCUAACUUCGUGCCAGCAGCCGCGGUAAUACGAAGGGGGCUAGCGUUGUUCGGAAUUACUGGGCGUAAAGCGCACGUAGGCGGAUCGAUCAGUCAGGGGUGAAAUCCCAGGGCUCAACCCUGGAACUGCCUUUGAUACUGUCGAUCUGGAGUAUGGAAGAGGUGAGUGGAAUUCCGAGUGUAGAGGUGAAAUUCGUAGAUAUUCGGAGGAACACCAGUGGCGAAGGCGGCUCACUGGUCCAUUACUGACGCUGAGGUGCGAAAGCGUGGGGAGCAAACAGGAUUAAAUACCCUGGUAGUCCACGCCGUAAACGAUGA